rnacentral:rRNA from 1 species
GACGAACGCUGGCGGCGUGCCUAAUACAUGCAAGUCGAACGCUGAAGGAGGAGCUUGCUUCUCUGGAUGAGUUGCGAACGGGCGAGUAACGCGUAGGUAACCUGCCUGGUAGCGGGGGAUAACUAUUGGAAACGAUAGCUAAUACCGCAUAAGAGUAGAUGUUGCAUGACAUUUGCUUAAAAGGUGCAAUUGCAUCACUACCAGAUGGACCUGCGUUGUAUUAGCUAGUUGGUGGGGUAACGGCUCACCAAGGCGACGAUACAUAGCCGACCUGAGAGGGUGAUCGGCCACACUGGGACUGAGACACGGCCCAGACUCCUACGGGAGGCAGCAGUAGGGAAUCUUCGGCAAUGGACGGAAGUCUGACCGAGCAACGCCGCGUGAGUGAAGAAGGUUUUCGGAUCGUAAAGCUCUGUUGUAAGAGAAGAACGAGUGUGAGAGUGGAAAGUUCACACUGUGACGGUAUCUUACCAGAAAGGGACGGCUAACUACGUG